CCGCGGUAAUACGUAGGGUGCGAGCGUUAAUCGGAAUUACUGGGCGUAAAGCGUGCGCAGGCGGUUUUGUAAGUCAGAUGUGAAAUCCCCGGGCUCAACCUGGGAACUGCAUUUGAGACUGCAAGGCUAGAGUGUGGCAGAGGGGGGUAGAAUUCCACGUGUAGCAGUGAAAUGCGUAGAGAUGUGGAGGAAUACCGAUGGCGAAGGCAGCCCCCUGGGUCACUACUGACGCUCAUGCACGAAAGCGUGG
rnacentral:rRNA from 1 species